rnacentral:rRNA from 1 species
AAUAGAUACCCAGGUAGUCCACGCCGUAAACGAUGAGUGCUAGGUGUUGGGGGCUUUCAGUCCUCAGUGCCGAAGGUAACCCAUUAAGCACUCCGCCUGGGGAGUACGGCCGCAAGGCUGAAACUCAAAGGAAUUGACGGGGGCCCGCACAAGCGGUGGAGCAUGUGGUUUAAUUCGAAGCAACGCGAAGAACCUUACCAGGGCUUGACAUCCCGCUGACCGCUCUAGAGAUAGAGCUUCCCUUCGGGGCAGCAGUGACAGGUGGUGCAUGGUUGUCGUCAGCUCGUGUCGUGAGAUGUUGGGUUCAGUCCCGCAACGAGCGCAACCCUUAUCGUUAGUUGCCAGCACUACGGGUGGGCACUCUAGCGAGACAGCCGGUGAAAGCCGGAGGAAGGUGGGGAUGACGUCAAAUCAUCAUGCCCCUUAUGUCCUGGGCUACACACGUGCUACAAUGGUCGGUACAAAGGGCAGCAAACCCGCGAGGGGGAGCCAAUCCCAUAAAGCCGAUCUCAGUUCGGAUCGC